UGAUUCCCCUAGUAACGGCGAGUGAAGAGGGAAAAGCUCAAAGUUGGAACCUGGCUGUCUUAGAUGGUCCGGAUUGUAAACUAAAGAGCGUGAAUCCAGGCAAGCCGGUUGACCAAGUCUCUUGGAAUAGAGCGCCACUGAGGGUGAGAGCCCCGUAAGUCGACUGAGCAUUUGUCUUUUGUGUUUCGCGUUCAAAGAGUCAGGUUGUUUGGGAAUGCAGCCUAAAGCUGGUGGUAAAUCCCACCUAAAGCUAAAUACAGGCGAGAGACCGAUAGCGAACAAGUACCGUGAGGGAAAGAUGAAAAGAACUUUGAAAAGAGAGUUAAACAGUAUGUGAAAUUGCCAAGAGGGAAGCAUUUGGAGUUAGACUGACUUGAGGUCAAUCAGCUUGGUCUUUGGACUGGGUGUACUUGGCCUCUAUGUCUGCCAAUAGCAGUUAGUUCUGGUGGAAAAAACUGGAGGGAAGGUAGUCCUUCGGGAUGUUUAUAGACCUUUGGAAAAUACACUGGAAUUGACUGAGGAAUGCAGUAGAUGCCAUUAAGGCUUCGUCUGCUGGGUACUAUGCGAGAGCACCUGGUAUUUUCAGCUUGCUGAUGUGCUGGGUUGUUUGAGUUUAGUUGCCUGGUAGAACUGUAAUC
rnacentral:rRNA from 1 species